GAACUAAAAGCCAAGCUUGUGCGCAUGCGUGCUGAAGUACUUCCUUUCCAAUCCAGCAAGCAAGACGAAGAGCGAAGAUUUGAAGUGGAAAUCGAACUAUUUCACUGCAAAGAAAACCAUCGACGUCCAUAAAGAUUCAGAAAUUGGAGACAGUGGAGGAACUACUCGACCUUGACGAGUUGAUAAAAACUCAACCAAGCAAGAAAGAUUUGCUGAUAACCAGGCUCUCAAAGAUUGGUGGAUAUGACUUAAAGAGCUGUUUAAGCACCAUCAUGGACAGCUACUUUCCUCUUUCUCUACAUACACAGCAAAAAUUGGAGUGUUGAAAUUUCAGGGUUAAACAUUCCCGUGUUAAUUUCAACUCCCAAAGUGUGAAUUUAACACAUUCUGAUUUAAAUAGUGUUCAGUGCUUGAGUUAUUUGACAGAGUUGAUCACUCAUGAGUUAGUUUAACUCUGCUGAGAUGCAAUUAAGCCCCGCCCUGCAUUUCACUUCAGUUGGAGGG